UCGAGGAUCUUCGGCAAUGAGCGCAAGCUUGACCGAGCGACGCCGCGUGGGCGAUGAAGGCCUUCGGGUUGUAAAGCCCUGUCGAGGGGGAGAAAAGGAAACUUGAUCUAUCCCUGGAGGAAGCACGGGCUAAGUUCGUGCCAGCAGCCGCGGUAAGACGAACCGUGCGAACGUUGUUCGGAAUCACUGGGCUUAAAGGGCGCGUAGGCGGAUUGCCAAGUCUGUGGUGAAAUCCUCUGGCUUAACCAGAGAACUGCCGUGGAUACUGGUGAUCUCGAGGGAGGUAGGGGUAUGUGGAACUAUUGGUGGAGCGGUGAAAUGCGUUGAUAUCAAUAGGAACUCCGGUGGCGAAGGCGACAUACUGGACCUCUUCUGACGCUGAGGCGCGAAAGCUAGGGGA
rnacentral:rRNA from 1 species